rnacentral:rRNA from 1 species
UGCCUAAUACAUGCAAGUCGAGCGGACCGACGGGAGCUUGCUCCCUUAGGUCAGCGGCGGACGGGUGAGUAACACGUGGGUAACCUGCCUGUAAGACUGGGAUAACUCCGGGAAACCGGGGCUAAUACCGGAUGCUUGAUUGAACCGCAUGGUUCAAUCAUAAAAGGUGGCUUUUAGCUACCACUUACAGAUGGACCCGCGGCGCAUUAGCUAGUUGGUGAGGUAACGGCUCACCAAGGCGACGAUGCGUAGCCGACCUGAGAGGGUGAUCGGCCACACUGGGACUGAGACACGGCCCAGACUCCUACGGGAGGCAGCAGUAGGGAAUCUUCCGCAAUGGACGAAAGUCUGACGGAGCAACGCCGCGUGAGUGAUGAAGGUUUUCGGAUCGUAAAACUCUGUUGUUAGGGAAGAACAAGUACCGUUCGAAUAGGGCGGUACCUUGACGGUACCUAACCAGAAAGCCACGGCUAACUACGUGCCAGCAGCCGCGGUAAUACGUAGGUGGCAAGCGUUGUCCGGAAUUAUUGGGCGUAAAGCGCGCGCAGGCGGUUUCUUAAGUCUGAUGUGAAAGCCCCCGGCUCAACCGGGGAGGGUCAUUGGAAACUGGGGAACUUGAGUGCAGAAGAGGAGAGUGGAAUUCCACGUGUAGCGGUGAAAUGCGUAGAGAUGUGGAGGAACACCAGUGGCGAAGGCGACUCUCUGGUCUGUAACUGACGCUGAGGCGCGAAAGCGUGGGAGCGAACAGGAUUAGAUACCCUGGUAGUCCACGCCGUAAACGAUGAGUGCUAAGUGUUAGAGGGUUUCCGCCCUUUAGUGCUGCAGCAAACGCAUUAAGCACUCCGCCUGGGAGAGUACGGUCGCAAGACUGAAACUCAAAGGAAUUGACGGGGCCCGCACAAGCGGUGG